rnacentral:ribozyme from 1 species
UAUGGCACAAUGCAUCAUAGUACAUACAAGGUCAUUUGUUCUUUUCCCCUUUUUCUUUUUUUGCUUCUUCUUGUUUAUAUGUGAUCACAGUCUUCAUUUUUUCAUAAGGGAGGACG